rnacentral:rRNA from 1 species
UACGGAGGGUGCAAGCGUUAUCCGGAUUCACUGGGUUUAAAGGGUGCGUAGGUGGGUUGGUAAGUCAGUGGUGAAAUCUCCGAGCUUAACUUGGAAACUGCCAUUGAUACUAUCAGUCUUGAAUACUGUGGAGGUCAGCAGAAUAUGUCAUGUAGCGGUGAAAUGCUUAGAUAUGACAUAGAAUACCAAUUGCGAAGGCAGCUGGCUACACAAAUAUUGACACUCAGGCACGAAAGCGUGGGGAUCAAACAGG